ACAUUUCGUUAGGUAUUCUUAUUUAAGGUAGUUCCUGCUCAGUGAUAAUAAUUAAAUAGCUGCAGUAAUUUGACUGUACAAAGGUAGCAUAAUAAUUAGUUUCUUAAUUAGAAACUGGAAUGAUUGGAUUAAUGAAACAUAUAUUUUAUUAAAUUUAAUUUUAUAACUUAAUUUUUAAGUUAAAAAGCUUAACUUUUUGUUUGGGACGAGAAGACCCUAUAGAACUUUUUUAUUUUUAUAAGUUUAGUUAGAAAUUAUUUUUUAUAAAUUUUGUUGGGGUGAUGAAUAAAUUUUAUCUUUAUUUUAUUAAUUCAUUAAUUUAUGAUUUAUUGAUCCAAUAUUUGAAUAAAAGUUAAGUUACCUUAGGGAUAACAGCGUAAUUUUAAUGGAAAGUUCUUAUUUAUAUUGAAGUUUGCGACCUCGAUGUUGAAUUAAGAUUAAUAAAGGGGGUAGUAUAUCUUUUGUUUAAGUCUGUUCGACUUUUAAAUUCUUACUUGAUCUG
rnacentral:rRNA from 1 species